GGUCUGUUCGUCUAGGGGUUAGGACACCAGAUUUUCAUUCUGGUAACACGGGUUCGAUUCCCGUACAGACUACAA
rnacentral:tRNA from 18 species